rnacentral:lncRNA from 1 species
UCUCUUCUCCUUUUUCUUUUCUUCUCCUUCCCGAAGCUUCCUCUCCUCCCUUCUUCUUUCAUCCCGAUCUCCCCUUCCUCUUUUCUCCGACGAUGGGAGCACGACGAGCGGAAAGGGAGGUCGAUGGUCUCCUCCUCACGGGGAGGGGGUCGGACCGCGAUCGGCGACGCCCGCAGCCGAGCUCUCGGCUUCUUCGGUAUCGAGCCCGCGGCCGAGCUCUCGGCUUCUUCGGUCGAGCCCGCGGCCGAGCUCUCGGCUUCCCCGGCGCUCCCGAGCCCGCACCGGCGACGCUCACGGCCGUACACGGGCAAGUCCCCUCCUCCUCUCCUUUUUCUCUCUCUCCUUGGUUCCGAUCGGAAGCCCUAGCCAUUUCGGCCGAUCCUCCGGUCUUCUUC